UGCGGGCCGCGGAGGGCAGGGAUUUUGGUCCCUUUAGGCUCCCGUCGGGCAGCUCUAUAUAAGCGGGAGGCGCGGGCCCCUCCGCCCCUUUUUCUCGGCGAGCCACGCAGGGGCGGGGGUGGAAAUGUGAAUACUGCAAAUGCAAGAGGUUUUCUCCUAGAGCUGAGAAGAAUCAAAAGAUACCAUGGUCCAAGAAGCCUGCAUCCUAGGAAUGAGUUGCUUUUGAGGAGGACAUCACUAAUUUCCUUUGAAAUUGUGUAACAUAAAUGCUGUUGAAGAGCCACAAUCAGAGGUGUCAAAUCAGACGUGCUUGAGGAGCAGUAUGAUGUACCUUCCUGGGCUACAGAAGCAGGGCUGGCCUUACCAUGAGGCGACCUGAGGUGGUGCCAGACUGUGCGGGGGCACCACUAGAACCCAGAGUGUAGAAAAUUGCAUCUGCUGCUGGUGCAUAUGUAUUUUCUCUGAACUAGAUGCACAGAGAUGAUGGAGUUCUGUGCUGGAGGAAGGAGGGCACAAGAGACAUAACAGGCAGGCAGGA